UACGGGGGGGGCAAGCGUUGUUCGGAAUUACUGGGCGUAAAGGGCUCGUAGGUGGCCAACUAAGUCAGACGUGAAAUCCCUCGGCUUAACCGGGGAACUGCGUCUGAUACUGAGGAUCUUGAGUUCGGGAGAGGUGAGUGGAACUGCGAGUGUAGAGGUGAAAUUCGUAGAUAUUCGCAAGAACACCAGUGGCGAAGGCGGCUCACUGGCCCGAUACUGACGCUGAGGCACGAAAGCGUGGGGAGCAAACAGG
rnacentral:rRNA from 1 species